rnacentral:rRNA from 1 species
ACGCUAGCUACAGGCUUAACACAUGCAAGUCGAGGGGCAUCAGGAAGAAAGCUUGCUUUCUUUGCUGGCGACCGGCGCACGGGUGAGUAACACGUAUCCAACCUGCCCUUUACUCGGGGAUAGCCUUUCGAAAGAAAGAUUAAUACCCGAUAGCAUAAUGAUUCCGCAUGGUUUCAUUAUUAAAGGAUUCCGGUAAAGGAUGGGGAUGCGUUCCAUUAGGUUGUUGGUGGGGUAACGGCCCACCAAGCCUUCGAUGGAUAGGGGUUCUGAGAGGAAGGUCCCCCACAUUGGAACUGAGACACGGUCCAAACUCCUACGGGAGGCAGCAGUGAGGAAUAUUGGUCAAUGGGCGCUAGCCUGAACCAGCCAAGUAGCGUGAAGGAUGAAGGCUCUAUGGGUCGUAAACUUCUUUUAUAUAAGAAUAAAGUGCAGUAUGUAUACUGUUUUGUAUGUAUUAUAUGAAUAAGGAUCGGCUAACUCCGUGCCAGCAGCCGCGGUAAUACGGAGGAUCUGAGCGUUAUCCGGAUUUAUUGGGUUUAAAGGGAGCGUAGGUGGACUGGUAAGUCAGUUGUGAAAGUUUGCGGCUCAACCGUAAAAUUGCAGUUGAUACUGUCAGUCUUGAGUACAGUAGAGGUGGGCGGAAUUCGUGGUGUAGCGGUGAAAUGCUUAGAUAUCACGAAGAACUCCGAUUGCGAAGGCAGCUCACUGGACUGCAACUGACACUGAUGCUCGAAAGUGUGGGUAUCAAACAGGAUUAGAUACCCUGGUAGUCCACACAGUAAACGAUGAAUACUCGCUGUUUGCGAUAUACAGUAAGCGGCCAAGCGAAAGCAUUAAGUAUUCCACCUGGGGAGUACGCCGGCAACGGUGAAACUCAAAGGAAUUGACGGGGGCCCGCACAAGCGGAGGAACAUGUGGUUUAAUUCGAUGAUACGCGAGGAACCUUACCCGGGCUUAAAUUGCAGUGGAAUGAUGUGGAAACAUGUCAGUGAGCAAUCACCGCUGUGAAGGUGCUGCAUGGUUGUCGUCAGCUCGUGCCGUGAGGUGUCGGCUUAAGUGCCAUAACGAGCGCAACCCUUAUCUUCAGUUACUAACAGGUCAUGCUGAGGACUCUGGAGAGACUGCCGUCGUAAGAUGUGAGGAAGGUGGGGAUGACGUCAAAUCAGCACGGCCCUUACGUCCGGGGCUACACACGUGUUACAAUGGGGGGUACAGAAGGCAGCUAGCGGGUGACCGUAUGCUAAUCCCAAAAGCCUCUCUCAGUUCGGAUCGAAGUCUGCAACCCGACUUCGUGAAGCUGGAUUCGCUAGUAAUCGCGCAUCAGCCACGGCGCGGUGAAUACGUUCCCGGGCCUUGUACACACCGCCCGUCAAGCCAUGGGAGCCGGGGGUACCUGAAGUACGUAACCGCAAGGAUCGUCCUAGGGUAAAACUGGUGACUGG